UCUGAUGAUAUUUUGGAACAAAUUAAGUUUGAAUAACUAAAUGCAACAGCAAAUACUUUAGCACAAACUGUUGGAAAGUUGAAACAGAGAAGGUGUACAUUUAAUUAGGGAACAACAGACAGAGCGAUAGACAGUCAAAACUGUGCCUAAACACCUGCAUAAGUUCUUAAAUUUCACAUGCGGUUUCACGUCAAUUUUUCAGCAUAAUCGAAACAUAAUUUUCUCUGAAGGUUCUCGCGCGUUCAAAAUAAUUGAUCUUGGUGCUGCAACAGAUUUGAGAGUAGGAAUCAAUUAUAUUGCCAAGGAGUUUCUUUUAGAUCCAAGACCAGAUUUCAUGAAUGAUUCAUUGCCUUUCUCCGACCCAGACUGCCGAAACUGAGAGUGGACAACUAAUACAUUCGGUGAUCCCUGGAUGCCGAGGGCGUCCUUGGGGUGAUCUCAUAGUUCCAAUACUGUGGAGAUGAUUGGGUCGGUCUAUGGAUGUUCCUAAUUCCUUUUCUUUUGCUGCAUUUGCUCAAAGGGUUGAAGGGAGAUAGUGCAUCAUGCUUUUCGCAAGGGACAACUUGAUCUUCUUUACACGGAUAUAAAAUCUUUAGUGUUGUGAUUGCUUCACAAGGCCAGCGGUUGCAAUACAGGUGUUUUACUUUGUUGUAGGGGACAAUAGGCGAGGAGGCUUUGUUAAGGUAAAUCUAUUUUUCUGAACUUAACGCUUUGCUUUUGCUGCUAAUUGCAAAUAUAUAUACACCUUUAGUGUUUUGAUGCUAAUCGAAAAUAUAUGUACACCCUUAAUUUCCUUGCACAUUGCGAUCAAUUUUACUUGACAAUUAUUAGAUGGUCCUAUAUGAAAAUGGGUUGACGGGUUGAUUUCUUCCUGCUACCAUAAUAUUUUACUACUGGUGGUCACAAAACGUAAGAACUUAUCCUUCUAGCCUGCAUUACUUUGAAGUUUAAUAAUAGGGUACACUAUUUGCAGGAAUUAAUUUUUAAGUGUCUUAUACUUGAG